rnacentral:rRNA from 1 species
UACGUAGGGGGGCUAGCGUUGUCCGGAAUCAUUGGGCGUAAAGCGCGUGUAGGCGGCCCGGUAAGUCCGCUGUGAAAGUCGGGGGCUCAACCCUCGAAUGCCGGUGGAUACUGUCGGGCUAGAGUACGGAAGAGGCGAGUGGAAUUCCUGGUGUAGCGGUGAAAUGCGCAGAUAUCAGGAGGAACACCAAUUGCGAAGGCAGCUCGCUGGGACGUCACUGACGCUGAGACGCGAAAGCGUGGGGAGCAAACAGG